GACGAACGCUGGCGGCGUGCCUAAUACAUGCAAGUUGAGCGCUGAAGGUUGGUACUUGUACCAACUGGAUGAGCAGCGAACGGGUGAGUAACGCGUGGUGAAUCUGCCUUUGAGCGGGGGACAACAUUUGGAAACGAAUGCUAAUACCGCAUAAAAACUUUAAACACAAGUUUUAAGUUUGAAAGAUGCAAUUGCAUCACUCAAAGAUGAUCCCGCGUUGUAUUAGCUAGUUGGCGAGGUAAAGGCUCACCAAGGCGAUGAUACAUAGCCGACCUGAGAGGGUGAUCGGCCACAUUGGGACUGAGACACGGCCCAAACUCCUACGGGAGGCAGCAGUAGGGAAUCUUCGGCAAUGGACGAAAGUCUGACCGAGCAACGCCGCGUGAGUGAAGAAGGUUUUCGGAUCGUAAAACUCUGUUGGUAGAGAAGAACGUUGGUGAGAGUGGAAAGCUCAUCAAGUGACGGUAACUACCCAGAAAGGGACGGCUAACUACGUG
rnacentral:rRNA from 1 species